rnacentral:lncRNA from 1 species
GUUCCUGCCGCCGUCCAUCCGCGAGAGCCUGAGCUCCCUCAGUACCAUCACCUCGGAGGGCUCUGCAUCACUGAAGGAUGAAGGCGAUCAGGUGCAGAUAAUACGGCAGCCUGAGAAAGAAGACGUUGACCACACCGAAGGCUCGGUUUCAGGAGCCCAGGGGCCCGCGCUGGCCCAGCCACCCGAGCGGGGGCUCUUCGCCGCCGUCCCGCCUGUGGAGGACCCCCUAGAAUCCCUCCCGCUCCAGGGCGCGCUGCAGGUCGGAGGCCAGGACGUGUGGUCCAUGAGGGCCCAGCGUGUGCGCCCAGCUCCCACGGACUCCUGGAUGCUGGAGUCCACGGUCCUCACCAUCCCCGGGC